rnacentral:lncRNA from 1 species
CGGUCUUGUACAAAGUGAAAAUAAGAUUAGUUAAAAAACCAGUAAAAAACUAUGUUUGACUAAUUUUGUUGGAAGAUGUAACUUCGGUGCCAAAAACCAUACAGCGGCUUCAAAAGGGUUGGUAUUGCGUCCAUGUGGACGCUUGAAAGGUGCACAUGCACCUUUUAAUGGUUCAGAUUGAACCAUGCUCAUUCGAGGGCC